GAUUAUUUUCUCCUCGUUAUCGAGCAUUUUUUAUAUUCAAGGAGAAAUUCUAGAAAUUACUAAAUGGAAUGUAAAUAUUCCCAUAUUUGUGGUCUGUUAAUAACAAAUGGGGUAAACAACGUAGACCAAAGCUUAUUGCCUCUGAUAAUACACAACGACGGAACGAGCAUUGUUUAUCAAGUUUUUGCGCUUGGAAGUGCCUCCCCCCC